AGAACGAACGCUGGCGGCAGGCCUAAUACAUGCAAGUCGAACGCACUCUUCGGAGUGAGUGGCAGACGGGUGAGUAACGCGUGGGAACCUUCCCAAUGGUACGGAAUAACUCCGGGAAACCGGUGCUAAUACCGUAUAAGCCCCUCGGGGGAAAGAUUUAUCGCCAUUGGAUGGGCCCGCGUCGGAUUAGCUAGUUGGUAAGGUAAUGGCUUACCAAGGCUACGAUCCGUAGCUGGUCUGAGAGGAUGAUCAGCCACACUGGGACUGAGACACGGCCCAGACUCCUACGGGAGGCAGCAGUAGGGAAUCUUGGACAAUGGGCGAAAGCCUGAUCCAGCCAUGCCGCGUGGAUGAUGAAGGCCUUAGGGUUGUAAACCGCUUUCAGUUCCGACGAAGGUAACCUGACGGUAGGAACAGAAGAAGGACCGGCCAACUACGUGCCAGCAGCCGC
rnacentral:rRNA from 1 species